rnacentral:piRNA from 1 species
AAGCAAUCACAAAAUUUGAGCACC